CCUACGGGAGGCAGCAGUGAGGAAUAUUGGUCAAUGGGCGCGAGCCUGAACCAGCCAAGUCGCGUGAGGGAGUACUGCCCUAUGGGUUGUAAACCUCUUUUGUCGGGGAGCAAAAGCCGGACGUGUCCGGCUGUGAGAGUACCCGGAGAAAAAGCAUCGGCUAACUCCGUGCCCGCAGCCCCGGUAAUACGGAGGAUGCGAGCGUUGUCCCGCGUUUUUGGGUUUAAAGGGUGUGCAGGCGGAUUUUUAAGUCAGCGGUAAAAUCGUGGGGCUCAACCCCAUCCAGCCGUUGAAACUGGGGAUCUAGAGUGUGCGAGAGGUAUGCGGAAUGCGUGGUGUAGCGGUGAAAUGCAUAGAUAUCACGCAGAACCCCGAUUGCGAAGGCAGCAUACCGGUGCACAACUGACGCUCAGGCACGAAAGCGUGGGUAUCGAACAGGAUUAGAUACCCCUGUAGUC
rnacentral:rRNA from 1 species